AUUGAACGCUGGCGGCAGGCCUAACACAUGCAAGUCGAACGAGUGGCGGACGGGUGAGUAAUGUCUGGGAAACUGCCUGAUGGGGGGGGAUAACUCCUGGCAACGGUAGCUAAUACCGCGUACACUCGGAUGUGCCCAGAUGGUAUUAGCUAGUAGGUGGGGUAAAGGCUCACCUAGGCGACGAUCCCUAGCUGGUCUGAGAGGAUGACCAGCCACACUGUAACUGAGACACGGUCCAGACUCCUACGGGAGGCAGCAGUGGUGAAUAUUGCACAAUGGGCGCAAGCCUGAUGCAGCCAUGCCGCGUGUAUGAAGAAGGCCUUCGGGUUGUAAAGUACUUUCAGCGGGGAGGCGUUACCCGCAGAAGAAGCACCGGCUAACUCCGUGCCAGCAGCCGCGGUAAUAC
rnacentral:rRNA from 1 species